UACGUAGGGACCAAGCGUUGUUCGGAAUUAUUGGGCGUAAAGGGUGCGUAGGCGGUGCGGUAAGUCUUCUGUGAAAUCUACGGGCUUAACUCGUAGUCUGCAGGAGAAACUGCCGUGCUUGAGUAUGGGAGAGGUGAGUGGAAUUCCUGGUGUAGCGGUGAAAUGCGUAGAUAUCGGGAGGAACACCUGAGGCGAAGGCGGGUUACUGGGCUGAUACUGACGCUGAUGCGCGAAAGCCAGGGGAGCAAACGGG
rnacentral:rRNA from 1 species